rnacentral:rRNA from 1 species
AGUGAACGCUGGCGGUAGGCCUAACACAUGCAAGUCGAACGGCAGCACAGUAAGAGCUUGCUCUUACGGGUGGCGAGUGGCGGACGGGUGAGCAAUACAUCGGAAUCUACUUUUUCGUGGGGGAUAACGUAGGGAAACUUACGCUAAUACCGCAUACGACCUACGGGUGAAAGCAGGGGAUCUUCGGACCUUGCGCGAUUGAAUGAGCCGAUGUCGGAUUAGCUAGUUGGCGGGGUAAAGGCCCACCAAGGCGACGAUCCGUAGCUGGUCUGAGAGGAUGAUCAGCCACACUGGAACUGAGACACGGUCCAGACUCCUACGGGAGGCAGCAGUGGGGAAUAUUGGACAAUGGGCGCAAGCCUGAUCCAGCCAUACCGCGUGGGUGAAGAAGGCCUUCGGGUUGUAAAGCCCUUUUGUUGAGAAAGAAAAGCAGCAGGUUAAUACCCCGCUGUUCUGACGGUACCCAAAGAAUAAGCACCGGCUAACUUCGUG